GGUUAUAAAUGGUUUCUUGCUGACAACCUCAAGAACGCAUAUCAGACUUCCCAGUAUCAUCAUCGCACUCCCUCAUUUGGCAUCCCAAAACUUGCAUCACAGAUAUCCUAUUUUCUUGAUUCUUGCUCCGAAUAAAACUGGGUUUCUUUUCGUUCUUCGGCAUCAUGGAUUCUUCUUCGGGAUCAGAAUUUGAUUAUUUGUUCAAGUUAUUGAUGAUUCGGGAUUCAUGCUUUGGUUGUUUAAUUUCGACGGCAGUAACCUGCGUAUAAUCUGCUGAUAUCUAGGUUUUGUUCAUACAUCGCUUACAAGGCAUGUUGUUUCUCACUUUCUCUUGAUGGACCAGUGGUGACUGCAUUAGGCUUUGGGGAUGAGCUUGGAGUUGUCACACACUCUUCUCCAUCCCUCCCUUUGAAUGAGCAAAUGCUAACGUUUGAUAUUCUUAACCUCCCUCAAAAGGUGAGUUGGUUGGUCAAUUACCUUAAGAAAUCUGCUAAUUGAAUUUUUUUACUCUGAUUUAUGUAAUUUUAAAUGAUUGUCUGAUCGAGUGCAUGGCAGCCAUCUCUUAAUAUUUAAACUGUUCUCACAAACAUUAGGCUAUUAUUGAAUGAACUACCUUCCAUGAUGAUAGACUAAUGUGUGAAGCUAGAACGAAGUAUAAAUACAAUAAACAAGUUUUUGACCAGAAAGCAAGUUCGAUGAUCGAAAAUAUGUUGGAUCUGGUGCUUGUCCAAAUCAUGGUGGGAUUCAAUUUGUCACAUAUGUAAUCAUGGUAUGUAUGUAUGUAUGUGUUGCUUGAAAAGCAGGUGAUGGACUAAUGAUCUCAAGGAUCGAGCGAGUCAAUGACAAUGAGGGUUGCCCUGUUUUGUUGGUUCGAACUGACCAACCUAAUUGAGGUGUUAUGUGUACAAAUCAUACUUUUUGUGUCACCAUUGUUGAUAUUACAACCUAAAGACAUUCGUUUUGUGACCACUUUCUUGGUUUCAUUUAGAAAAUUCGGGGGUGGAGCUAUAGUCGGUGUAGUUUUUAAAUAGCUUUAUUUAUUUUCUGUCUGUUGCAAAAUACACCACAUCAAACCAUAGUUACUGCUUGGCUCAAGUGGGUUCCACAGGAACCCGUGAAAACACCAGUGGAGUGAAACUUAAAUAAAAAUGGCAGAUGCAAUAGCAAUAGAUACAGGUUGCUUGGCGACUGCACCAGGCAAACUUUUUUCAUCCAUAGCAGACAUGACAUUUGUUUAGAUAAGGGUUGUUAAAUGGGGCAAUGGGGCAAAACUUGGAAAAUAUAGAUGGUAUGAAAAUGGGUCAAACAGGUUGAAACACACAAUAAGAAGAUGGUUGUUCUCUUAAUCUCUUGUCUUGUAAGAUUGAGGGAUCUCCAAUUGUGGGUGCAAAAAAUAAUUAAUUUGAUGGUGCGCGCUACUUUCAUAAUGGCAGUGUGAAUAUAAUGUUUAUACAACAAAUAAGAUAGAAUUUUGAUUUAUUAGGUCAAAUGAAAAUGCCAUUUUUGGUAUGAUAUCUAUAAUUUCAAGAUAAAUAUAACAAUUGGGACUU
rnacentral:lncRNA from 1 species